rnacentral:rRNA from 1 species
AGAGUUUGAUUCUGGCUCAGGACGAACGCUGGCGGCAUGCCUAACACAUGCAAGUCGAACGGAAGUAGCAAUACUUUAGUGGCGAACGGGUGAGUAACACGUGAGCAACCUGCCCUAUACAACGGGAUAACACAGAGAAAUUUGUGCUAAUACGGUAUAAGACCACAGUAUCGCAUGAUACAGGGGUAAAAGAUUUAUCGGUAUAGGAUGGGCUCGCGACCCAUUAGCUAGUUGGUGAGGUAACGGCCCACCAAGGCAACGAUGGGUAGCCGACCUGAGAGGGUGAUCGGCCACACUGGGACUGAGACACGGCCCAGACUCCUACGGGAGGCAGCAGUGGGGGAUAUUGCACAAUGGGGGAAACCCUGAUGCAGCGACGCCGCGUGAGUGAAGAAGUAUUUCGGUAUGUAAAGCUCUAUCAGCAGGGAAGAAAAUGACGGUACCUGACUAAGAAGCCCCGGCUAACUACGUGCCAGCAGCCGCGGUAAUACGUAGGGGGCAAGCGUUGUUCGGAAUGACUGGGCGUAAAGGGUGUGUAGGCGGUGUAGCAAGUUAGAAGUGAAAUACCUAGAGCUUAACUCAGGUGCUGCUUCUAAAACUGCUAUACUUGAGUGCAGUAGAGGAAAGUGGAAUUCCUAGUGUAGCGGUGGAAUGCGUAGAUAUUAGGAGGAACAUCAGUGGCGAAGGCGACUUUCUGGACUGUAACUGACGCUGAGGCACGAAAGUGUGGGGAGCAAACAGGAUUAGAUACCCUGGUAGUCCACACUGUAAACGAUGGAUACUAGGUGUAGGAGGUAUCGACUCCUUCUGCGCCGAAGCUAACGCAUUAAGUAUCCCGCCUGGGGAGUACGGCCGCAAGGUUGAAACUCAAAGAAAUUGACGGGGACCCGCACAAGCAGCGGAGCAUGUGGUUUAAUUCGAAGCAACGCGAAGAACCUUACCAAGACUUGACAUCGUAUGACCGCCUAAGAGAUUAGGAAUUCCCUUCGGGGACAUAUAGACAGGUGGUGCAUGGUUGUCG